rnacentral:rRNA from 1 species
CCUACGGGAGGCAGCAGUGGGGGAUCUUGCACAAUGGGGGGAACCCUGAUGCAGCGACGCCGCGUGGGUGAAGGAGCGUUUCGGCGCGUAAAGCUCUAUCGGUAGGGAAGAAGAUGACGGUAACUGACCAAGAAGCCCCGGCUAACUACGGGCCAGCAGCCGCGGUAAUACGUAGGGGGCAAGCGUUAUCCGGAUGGACUGGGGGUAAAGGGGGAGCAGACGGCAAUGCAAGCCAGGCGUGAAAGCCCGGGGCCCAACCCCGGGACUGCUCUUGAAACUGCAUGGCUGGAGUACAGGAGGGGCGGGCGGAAUGCCAAGUGUAGCGGGGAAAUGCGUAGAUAUGAGGAGGAACACCAGUGGUGAAGGCGGCCUUCUGGACUGUGACUGACGUUGAGGCCCGAAGGCGUGGGGAGCAAACAGGAUUAGAUACCCGGGUAGUC